rnacentral:lncRNA from 1 species
AGAAGAAUGUUUUAUUUGACUUAAACUGUACACAGUUUCUCGUCGUACAUGAAAUAUACAAACAAUAAGUAAUAAAUUAAACAUUGAAUUAAACAUUGAAAGAUCAAAGCAUAUCUACAUAAUAAUAAUGUCUGACAUAUAAAUGUUAUGAGGGUGGUCUUGUAUAAGUACAUAAUGUUACAUGUAGUCCAGCUAUCUAUUCUUCAUGCAGAAAUAUAUACGCAAGUUAAAUAUAGAUUCUACUGGUCUGUAUAAUAUCUAUUUUCACAAUAAAUAUGCUUAGAAAGUUGGCCAGUCAUCCACUAAAUACCAGUACAAUAUUAACGUUUCACAAAUAUGAAACUUAUCCAUUCGUAACAAAUGUGGCUAGUUGCAAAAUUCGUAGUAAGUUUUCAUUGUAGUAAUCAAUGCCAAAUAAGGAUAACCGCAAUUGACACCCACUAGUAUCAACCAAUCACAUUCCACGUGUACGGAUUAGUACAUUACAUGGUAAUUUUGGUUACCAAAUAAGGAAACCUGAAAUUGAUUGUCACACGAUGUGUAUUGACGAAUGUGUAAAUGGACAACACGCGUUACGUUGCACUGAUUGUUUCGGAUAACCGACCCAAUUUCAGGAAAAACUAAUUAUUACAGAGUGCACAGUAGCGUUGAUGUCGUUCUGUUCUGUUCACUGCAUAUCUACCCGUUUCAAUUCGAAGUUUAUGAGAUGCUAACCGCAAUCUUGUCAAAGAGAUGCGAAACUUAUUAGAUUUAGAAAGACCCCAGAUUUCACAUGAGUAAUUCAGUGUUGACCCAACAAAAGCAUCAAAGAGCUGGCACACCGUCUUUGGUUUCAGCAUGUCUAGGCUAUUCUGCAGUUCCAGGGGUGUUUUACCAAAAAUGACCAUAUCAUCAGCAAACAACAUCAAUAUAAAGAGCUGCUGUGUAUACUGACUUCGCUGUAAUACAAUCAUCAUCGAACCAGUCUGCUUUUUUACACAGUCUAUUUGGGUUAUCGUAACUAGGUGCUUUAUUACCCGAUUUCCCCUCCUUAGCAAACAAUGGAUCGGCUGCACUUCUUAUUAUGUGAAUGACCCAGACUGAUCACCAUGCAGACGGCCGUUGGCUAUUCUCAUUGAGGUAGAUUUACAGAGAUCAAGAAGUCUUAGCCCAUGCGCAUUCGUACUGGAGUCCAUAGAGGCUCUCUGUAGAGGAUUAUCAGUUUAUCCCUGCUCAAGCCAUGGACAUUCCACGAUAGGAUACGCAGAUCCACCCUCGCAGAACCCUAGUGCCGUUUCCCGCGACCUGCACCUCUGCCUCCGCGACCUGCACCUCGAUUCC